AAGUCAUUUACUAAAAUCUCUAU
rnacentral:snRNA from 1 species